CGGUGAGUACGUUCCCGGGCCUUGUACACACCGCCCGUCAAGCCAUGGAAGCUGGGGGUGCCUGAAGUCGGUAACCGCAAGGAGCUGCCUAGGGUAAAACCGGUAACUGGGGCU
rnacentral:rRNA from 1 species